rnacentral:rRNA from 1 species
UGUUAUAUUCUCAAAGGCAUUAAGAGGAUUCCUAAACAUUAAAAUUUUAACGUGGGCGUUUUUAAAUACGAAAAGGUAAAAUGAAAUUUCAGAUUUGUGAUUUUUACAUUCCCGUUACGAAAAAUCGUACUUUAAUUGAUGUAAGUUUUAUCAAGGCUAUUUUGAUAAAAAAAAUUUAGUGAAUUGAAUCAUCUAAGUAACUAAACGAAAAAAUCAACCGAGAAUCCGCUAAUAGUGGCGAGCGAACGCGGAUAUAAGACUUAAAAACUGUUAGUUUUUGUUGGAAUUCAAAGAGCCGUAGAAGGUUAAAGCCCUGUAGGACAUUAACUAACAAAGUUUUUCAAAAGUAAAUCGGCUCCUGUCAUAAGCUGAUUAAAAAUUGGAGAACCACCUUCAAGUCUAAAAAUUUUAAUGAUUGAUAGUGAACUAGUACCGUGAGGGAAAGGAUUUAAUGUAUUUAAUUAUAUGAAACUUAAUGCUGACAAUCAGUUGAAGCUUUUUAAAGUGACAACGUACCUUUUGCAUAAUGGAUCAACAAGUUUAUUUUAGUAGCGAGCUUAAGCUGUAGGUAGUAUAGGCAAAAAUAAUUUAAGUUUUAAAAUGCAUUUUAGUUUCUAAAAUAAGACCCGAAACUAAGUGAUCUAACUAUGAACAGGCUGAAAUUAUAGCGGUAACGCUUAAUGAAGGGCUGAACCCGUAUAUGUGGCAAAAUAUUGGGACGAUUUGUAGUUAGGGGUGAAAGGCCAAUCAAACUUAGAGAUAGCUGGUUUUCUGCGAAAUCUAUUUUAGUAGAGUGUUUAAAAACUUUAUUUUGGGGUAGAGCACUUAUUAAACUUCGGGGGGCGUAAAGCUUUACUGAAUUUAGUAAAACUCCAAAUACAAAAUAAAAGACUUUAAACAAUCAAACUAUUGGUGCUAAGGUCAAUAGUUGAGAGGGAAACAGCCCAGAUUAUUUGUUAAGGCCCUUAAAAAUAAUUAAGUGAAAAAGAAAUUAAAGGACUGAAACAACCUGAAGGUAGGCUUAGAAGCAGCCACCCUUUAAAGAAAGCGUAACAGCUCACUAGUCUAGUUUUUUAAUCUCGAAAAUGUAUAGGGACUCAAAUUAUUUGCCGAAACAAUAAAUUUAAAAUAAUGGUAGCAGAACGUUCUGUAAAACAAAGAAGAUUUCUAGUAAUAUAAAUUGGAGUUAUCAGAAGUGAGAAUGUUGAUAUGAGUAACGAAAACAGUGUGCGAAACGCUGUCACCUUUAAUUCAAGGUUUUUAAGACAAGGAUAAUCCGUCUUAAAUUGAUUAUUCGGUCCCUAAGAAACUGACGAAAGUUAUUUUUUGAUGGGUUAUUUUAAAGUGACAAAAUCAUAGAAAAUUAUUUUUAUUUAAUGAUCCCAAAUAAAAGUUUUUUAAUAUUUUCAAGAAAAAGCUUUAAAAAUUAAAAACCGUACCCAAAACCGACGCAGGUGAAUUAGUUUAGAAAAUGAGGGUGAUUGAGUUAAUUGUGUUGAAGGAACUCGGCAAAAUAACUCUGUAACUUCGGAAGAAGGAGUGACUUUUUUAGGGCAACCUAAAAAAGUUGUCACAAAAUCGGGGACGGCAACUGUUUAAUAAAAACACAAGUCUCUGCUAAUUCGUAAGAAGAAGUAUAGGGACUGACGCCUGCCCAGUGCUGCAAGAUUAAAAAAAAAAAGUUUUGGCUUUUUUUUCGAAACCCCAGUAAACGGCGGCUGUAACUCUGACGGUCCUAAGGUAGCGAAAUUCCUUGGCAUUUAAUUGGUGUCCUGCAUGAAUGGCGUAAUGACUGUCCUACUGUCUCCAACACAAUCUCAGUGAAAUUGAAAUUCCCGUGAAGAUGCGGGAUAUUUGCGGCUAGACGGAAAGACCCCGUGCACCUUUACUAUAGUUAUGUAUUGUAAUAAAAAUUUUUAUAUUCAGCAUACGUGGUAAGUUGUUAAAAUUUAUUUGCGCAAGCAAACGAAAAAAACGUCAAUGAGAUACCACUUUUAAAAGUUUUUAUUACUAAUUAAAAAAGACAAUGCAUAAUAGGUAGUUUGACUGGGGCGGUCGCCUCCUAAAGAGUAACGGAGGCGCACUAAGGUAAGUUCAAAUUAAUAUUUAGAUUAAUUGUAGAGCGUAAUAGUAAAUACUUGCUUGACUGUAAGAUUGACAAAUCAAACAGGGACGAAAGUCGGUUAUAGUGAUCCGAUGAUUCUGUGUGGAAAUGGUCAUCGCUCAACGAAUAAAAGGUACGCCGGGGAUAACAGGCUAAUCACUCUCUAGAGACCCUAUCGACGGAGUGGUUUGGCACCUCGAUGUUGGAUUAUCACAUCCUGGAGCUGAAGAAGGUUCCAAGGGUUUGGCUGUUCGCCAAUGAAGGUGGUACGUGAUCUGAGUUUAGAACGUCGUGAGACAGUUUGGUCCCUAUCUACCGCAAACGUAGAAAAUUGCGAGACGUAAACUCUAGUACGAGAGGACCGAGAUUAAUGAAUCUCUGGUGGAUCGGUUGCUGUAUCAACAGCAUAGCCGAGUAGCUAUAUUCAUAAUAGAUAAUCGCUGAAAGCAUCUAAGCGAGAAACUAACCUCAAGAUAAAUUUUCAUUAUAUAGAACGUAACAGAUUAUUACGUGAUAGGCUUGAUGUGUAAGAAUUGUAAGAUUUUUAGCUAACAAGUACUAAUUAAAAACACUAGUUUUUAGUUUAA